GAAGAAUUUCCUUGUAGAUUUUUUAUCCCACCAUCCUUGAUCCUCCCUGAGAAUAGCCAGGUAACCUCUUGGUGGUGUCUUGCCAUUUGUGUUCUUGGGAUUUAGUGCAGAAGAAAUUCACAGAGUUUUAUUGAAGAAAUUGAGCUUCAAAGAUCAAAAGAAGGUUGGAUAUGAUUGACCCAAACUUGAAGUCAACAAAUAUCAUCUUACGACAUUUGGGAACGACUAUAGAAGAAUUAGAGAAGGGAAGAGAGGAAAUGGAUCGACGUAGAGCUGCAAAAUCAGCCCCAUUGAAGGAUGCUACAAAUACACCAAUUACUGGUAUAUGGAUUGAUGCAGUGAAGGGCAAAAUGCCCCAAAAAUCUAAGGAAUAUGUUGACGAGAAUGGUCCAUCUUUUGACCUUCACUUGAGUCAGGCAUAAAAGAAUA